rnacentral:rRNA from 1 species
AGCCUGCCGCGUGUGUGAUGAAGGCCCUAGGGUCGUAAAGCACUUUCGCCAGAGAUGAUAAUGACAGUAUCUGGGUAAAGAAACCCCGGCUAACUCCGUGCCAGCAGCCGCGGUAAUACGGAGGGGGUUAGCGUUGUUCGGAAUUACUGGGCGUAAAGCGCACGUAGGCGGAUUAGUAAGUUAGAGGUGAAAUCCCAGGGCUCAACCCUGGAACUGCCUUUAAUACUGCUAGUCUUGAGUUCGAGAGAGGUAAGUGGAAUUCCGAGUGUAGAGGUGAAAUUCGUAGAUAUUCGGAGGAACACCAGUGGCGAAGGCGGCUUACUGGCUCGAUACUGACGCUGAGGUGCGAAAGUGUGGGGAGCAAACAGGAUUAGAUACCCUGGUAGUCCACACCGUANACGAUGAAUGCCAGACGUCAGCAAAGUAUACUUGUUGGUGUCACACCUAACGGAUUAAGCUUUCCCCUGGGGAGUCGGUCG